AUUCCUCUGCCCUCCAAGUGUAGAGGGGACACCGUGGGCCUUGGCAGUCGCGUUCCGACUCCGGUCUGGUGUAGGGGUUGCACUCGGUCUCUCUGGCUAUUUUAUGUGUUCCGAUCUGACAGCCCACAUGCCUCUGCUGUACGCCUCGGCCACAGGACACAGAGCACUAAGAAGACAGAGGAUCACCAGUUUGGAUAAUAUCUCAAGGCUCAAUAGGGAAGGAAGGUGGCAUUGAAAAAAAAAGUCCAUAGCAUUACAGCAGCAAUCCUGUGUGGCAUUUUGGCUCACUCAAGAGUGUGGGUAAAUCCUGAUCAUUGGAGCCAAAAAUAAAGCUCAUGAACCUGAAAUUACCAUGAAAUUCUGAUUUUAAGAAGUCCUACUAUGAAAUAGUGAGAUAUUUCUUCAACAAAAUGCCUUGUGAUUCACUGAUUGGGAUAAAGGUGCAUUUCCAAAAUACAACUAUGUUCAAUUUCUUCAUUAAAUGAUUUAAGAAUAAAACUCUUCAACCGUUUUCCAGAAGAUAAGCUCUCAUUUUCCCAGUCCAUUGGGAAGAGGUGAAAAAGGCACGUUAGAAACUGAAAGGUAAGCUAGCAGGAAAGAGGUGAAGAUAAUACAAGGACCCACUCUGUGCCUGCCAUGGGAUUAUUUAUGAAAGCCGUCUGGAAGACAGGGAGGGCAGUGGGUGAGAGAUUUGUUCCAGAGAUUCAUGGUCUGGUGAGACAAGUUUGAGACCUCGUAUUUUCAGCUCAUCCUUGAAAAUCCUGCUUGGAUUUGACUGACCUUGAUGGCUCCCUGGAAUCUCACCUACAUUUUAUGGGAAAUUCAACUCUCCAGAGAGAAGAGCUUUCAGAUAGCUAUGGGAGUUGCAACUAUGACUUUGAACUUUCACUUUUGAAUGAGGCUCCAAAUGUCUCAAUGGUGGCACUAUUUCCAGAUUUGGGAGCCCUGCAAAGCUAAUCUGCUCAACCUUCACCUACUGGGUUCAAUGAAUAUGAAAAGCUGCCUUCCUGAAACUUUUCCUUCAAAGAGGGAAUGAUCUCUUGGAAUUCAAGCUUCUACAAGGUGGCUACCUGGUGUUUUCCACUUUUGCCUUCUCCUAAAAAGCAUCAAUCAAGCCUUGCCCUUUCAACCCACUGAACACAUAAACAUGCUUUCUCCUUAACUGAACUUAUGACCACGAUGAACUUGAACUCUGAGAUGCACAAGAGGAGAGUUUGUUUUAACAGCUGCUUUUACAAUGAAGCCCUGGAGUUACUACUCUCAAGACCCCUGGUUCUGAUAGGCCGUCUUUUCACUGUCCUCUGCAUUUUCGAAUGCCCAGCUGUCAGGGAACACCCACUGAAGUUUUCCAAAACAAAGGCAUGAAACACAAGAAAGGCAAGAGAAUGCUAAUCACUGGAUACAUGGGCAUCUUAUGGGGGAACCCCUUACAUGUGGAAUAGGGUUUUUCUUCCCAAUUUAUUUUUAUAAAUUUAUUUAUCUCUUUGCUAGUUUAUUAUUAAUUGUUAGAGAUGUCCUGUUGCCUGAGGUUGCCCUGUCCAAUAUGGUAGCCACCAGCAACAGGUAGCUAUUUAGAGUAAUUAAAAUUACAUUAAAAAUACAGUUUCCUUGUCACUUAACCAUGUUUCAAGUGCUCAGUAUUUAACCACAUGUGGCUAGUGGCUUCCAUUAAAGGAAGGCAAAAAUAGAGAACAUUUAUAUCGCUGCAGAAAGCUACUAGAUUCUUUUGGCCAAGGCAUAAGCUCUUUCUCAUAGGAGAAAGGGGAUGCAGAUCUUGCUAAGAGUGAUGGAUUUCUGGGUUCAGCCUACAUGAGUCAUCUUCCAUACCACCCCUGGACAUGCUUUCCUUGGCUGCCAGUUUUCUAUUUUAUAAAUUUCAGGAAAGAGAGGUUAUGGUCAUUAAAACGAUUCAUAACAAUGAUCCCACUUUAGAGAAAACAACAGCAACAAGCAAAGAAGAUGGUGUGGAGAUCCACACAUUCCACAUCUUUUAAUUGGUACCCAUUAAAUAACAAAGGGAAAAAGUACCCUCAGACCACAACUCUCCACCUUGUGUGGAGGCCAAGAACCCAGUAGGGAAAAGGCUGAAGGUUAGGUUCUCCACUUAUCCUGGCUCUUAGACCACUGAACUCACAUUUGGGUUCUAAUAGAAUGGUGAUUGGAAGCAUAUUCUCUGAUAGGAGGUUUUUAAAAGUUCCAUGCCAUCAGCCAGGCAGCAUCUGUCACUUAAAAUGACUGGCCAGUUGCACAUUUAAAAGCAAAGAUAAAAUUGCUAAUUUAUACUUACUGAAUAAAUGUCAUCAGUAUCCAUGAAGGUACCUACCCUAAUAAUAAGUUGUAGUUUUAUUUUAAUGGUGAUGGUGAAGCUGCCAGGAAAACCAAAGUAUCAGUUCUUUAAUUACAUGUGUUUAGUAUUCACUUAAUACUAAAAUUUCUCUUGCUCCCUUAGAACGAAGAGCUCUAACUUGUUCACUGCUGUAUCCUUGGCACCUAGAACAGUCCCUGGCCUACAGUAGCCACUUAGAAAGUAUUUGUUGAAAAUUGAAUGACUAUUUUAUUUUAUUUUUUAAAGAAAUGACCAGAGUUUUUUUUUUUAUCCUCCCCCAACCACCAAUCCCUGGUAUUAAAAUAAAUCUUCCUCAACUGCCAUCACUAAUCGCCAGGAUUCCCUCCUAGCCAAUUAUGCUUGGACUGAACCUCUACCUCCCACUCCACAUUCCAAAGUUUCUAUUUCUUUCCAUUCCAGAAGGGCAACUCCACAACAGGAGUGAGGGAGAGGACCUGGACUCCUCCUCAGAGUCCAAUAACCCUCCUAAUCCUGCUCCCCUGACACAUGGACUUUUUAAAUCCAUGAAAAUAGAAUCUGUCAAGCUACCACGAAAUAGCAUCAGAAGGCAGGAUCAGUCUUUCAUAGGCAUAUAAUCUCUGUAAAUACUGGAAAAAGAUUAUUAAAAGCCUAAGUUUUGUCUCCAGUGAAAUAGAUGCAGGCAAGUAUUUUGAUUGUUCUGAACACAUUAGAGAUGAGUGCUACACAGAACUAAGGUAAACUUUGUAAAUUCAUAUGUCGUAACACUUUGUUCCACAAAAAACGAUCUUAUUUUUUAUACUCCAUACUGAUACAGCCAAAUAAUGUGGCUCUUGUUUUUUAAAGAUGCUAGCAAUAUGUUUAAACAUGUCUUCAUUGUAAUAAAAAUAUCAUAUUUUAUAAAAAAUUCAUAUGCAUUUAAUGUGAUAUUCCUUAUAGUCAAAAUCUUGAUGUCAUCCUCCUAAUCUGGCUAAAAAUGUAUCCGUAAAAUGAAAGAAAGGAAUAUUUUGCCAUUCCCUAAACAACAGUUGUUUGAAGCUUUUGUAAUUCCUGGUUAUGGGAAUUUACCAAUAACAGGAAUGAAUUUGGAUUUUCUUUUGCCGGAAUAAAAUGGACAAUGUCACAAUUAGUUAAAUAAUGUUGAGGCUAAAUGAAGUUUGAGUUUUAGGCAUAUCCUUUAUAGAAUAUAAACAGGAGCCUAAAAGUUCAUUCUGAACACAGGUUGUUUCUUUCUGCCAAAACAAGAUUAAUAGUCAGUACCCUAUCAACGAGAUCCUAUCACGGAAGUAGAUUAUCUGCUAGUCAAAUGGGUUUCUAACAGCACCUCCCUCAUAGAUUAAAACCAGGUUAAUGUGAUGUGUAUUUGCUUAAUUUGGCUUGUUACAGCAAACGUUAGCUAUUGUUAUCUUCGUUUCCUUUGGAGAAGUUACCUUAUUUCUCACCUUAUUAAAAAUAAAGUCUAACUCAUAUAGGGACCCUCCUUACCUUGGUCCUUUCACCCAUGAAUACCAUAAUAACCUAUACUGCAAAAAGGAGGCUCAGGAGGGGGAUGAGGUUCAAUAGGCCUCCAGGUCAUUUCUAUGAUUUAGAUUUUUUUGAAAAGGGUAGGCUCUCUUGAAACUUCCAAGGUAGUUGCUGUCAUAUUUUAUUUUCCUUUAAUAAGGAAUGCUUUCUGAAAUGUAUUGCAGUGAACAAAUAACAAAAUUGACAAAUGCUGUAAGCUUUUUACAGUUAUCUGAACACACAGAAUAAAGUGUAAUCAAAUUUAUGCACAUUAGGUUUGCUUUUUCCUGUACCUAGCUGUCUCUUAUGUGUUCAGAACCAUUUCUUCCAAUCACCUUUUUUUGUCUUCUGGCUAUAUUUUGUCAUUAUCUACAAAUUCAAUAAAUGGAGCA